rnacentral:miRNA from 1 species
CAUCAAAAAGAUGACUAGGUGUAACUUUUUCGAGAAAAAAAAUUAAUUUCUUCUCUGAAAAGUGACUCUUAGCCAUUUCUUUGAAA